rnacentral:rRNA from 1 species
CCCUUAGAUGUCCUGGGCCGCACGCGCGCUACACUGAUGCAUGCAACGAGUUUAUAACCUUGGCCUGAAAGGUCUGGGUAAUCUUUUGAACGUGCAUCGUGAUAGGGAUAGAUUAUUGCAAUUGUUAAUCUUGAACGAGGAAUUCCUAGUAAGCGCGAGUCAUAAGCUCGCGUUGAUUACGUCCCUGCCCUUUGUACACACCGCCCGUCGCUACUACCGAUUGAACGGUUUAGUGAGGGCCUCGGAUUGGUCUCGGCCCGCUCUUUACCGGGCGGCGCCGUUGGUCGAGAAGACGCUCGAACUUGAUCGUUUAGAGGAAGUAAAAGUCGUAACA